GACGAACGCUGGCGGCGUGCCUAAUACAUGCAAGUCGAGCGAACGGAUGGGAGCUUUCCUCCAGACCGUCAGCGGCGGACGGGUGAGUAACACGUGGGCAACCUUCCUUUAAGACUUGGAUAACUCCGGGAAACCGGGGCCUAUACCGGAUAACUCUUUUCAUCCCAUUGGGUAAAUCUUGAAGAUCGCAUCUCGCUAUCACUUACAGAUGGUCCCGCGGCGCAUUAGCUAGUUGGUGAGGUAACGGCUCACCAAGGCGACGAUGCGUAGCCGACCUGAGAGGGUGAUCGGCCACACUGGGACUGAGACACGGCCCAGACUCCUACGGGAGGCAGCAGUAGGGAAUCUUCCGCAAUGGACGAAAGUCUGACGGAGCAACGCCGCGUGAGUGAUGAAGGUUUUCGGAUCGUAAAACUCUGUUGUCAGGGAAGAACAAGUACCGGAGUAACUGCCGGUACCUUGACGGUACCUGACCAGAAAGCCACGGCUAACUACGUG
rnacentral:rRNA from 1 species